AUUGAACGCUGGCGGCAGGCCUAACACAUGCAAGUCGAACGAGUGGCGGACGGGUGAGUAAUGUCUGGGAAACUGCCCGAUGGAGGGGGAUAACUACUGGAAACGGUAGCUAAUACCGCAUACCAUCGGAUGUGCCCAAAUGGGGUUAGCUUGUAGGUGAGGUAACGGCUAACCUAGGCGACGAGCCCUAGCUGGUCUGAGAGGAUGACCAGCCACACGGGGACUGAGACACGGUCCAGACUCGUACGGGGGGCAGCAGUGGGGAAUAUGGCACAAGUGGCGCAAGCUUGAUUCAGCCAUGCCGCGUGUAUGAAGAAGGCCUUCGGGUUGUAAAGUACUUGCAGCGGGGAGGCGUUACCCGCAGAGGAAGCACCGGCUAACUCCGUGCCAGCCGCCGCGGUAAUAC
rnacentral:rRNA from 1 species